rnacentral:misc_RNA from 1 species
GAUGAAGAACGCAGCGAAAUGCGAAAAGUAAUGUGAAUUGCAGAAUUCAGUGAAUCAUCGAAUCUUUGAACGCACAUUGCGCCCGCCAGUAUUCUGGCGGGCAUGCCUGUCUGAGCGUCAUUUCAACCCUCAUGCCCCUAGGGCGUGGUGUUGGGGAUCGGCCAGCGCCCGCGAGGGACGGCCGGCCCCUAAAUCUAGUGGCGGACCCGUCGUGGCCUCCCCUGCGAAGUAGUGAUAUUCCGCAUAGGAGAGCGACGAGCCCCUGCCGUUAAACCCCCGACUUUCUAAGGUUGACCUCAGAUCAGGUAGGAAUACCCGCUGAACUCAAGCAUAUCAAUAAGCGGAGGA